CACGCCUGGCCCUAGGUAAGGACUUUUAACUCAAGGUGUGCUGAUCAAAACUUCGUCGCUGAAAUGAGCAUGGAAGAGAACCUCUUUCUUCUGGGCUCACCAACCUGAAAGAAUGUGAGUCUGCGCUGUUUGCCGCCACCUUCAUCUUGCUUUCGUGGGGAAAGCCUGACUGAAUAAUGAAGCCAAUCGGGACUGCUCUGCUGAGGACUGGCAAGGGAGAGAGAGAGCCCUGGGAUAAAUGCUUGAGCAACUGGACCAAACUGUGAAGAAUUCUAAAAUCAUCUUUUAUUUACCAGGCUAGAGUGCAAUGGCUGGAUCUCGGCUCACCGCAACCUCCACCUCCCAGGUUCAAGCAAUUCUCCUGCCUCAGCCUCCGGAGUAGCUGGGAUUACAGGCAUGCGCCACCACGUCCGACUAAUUUCAGUUUUCUCACUUGCCAAGUGUAAGAGUCCUGAUAAUACGGUAACAGAGAUGGACACAGAGGGCUUGAUAUUUGUGACGUAAGUGAGAAGACCACAUAACUGUGUCCGUACUGAAAAUAUUAAUAAAGCCUAUCUUCUGUCUCUCUUCUAUCAUCCCUGAGUAAAUGGGCUGUUUAGUGACUUAUACGACAGGAUAGUAUAUUUUUUAAAAUGUAAGUAUUAAUUUAUAUGUUCUUCCCUCUUCCUGCA
rnacentral:lncRNA from 1 species